CACUGACUCACAAGUGGGUGGGCCUUGGACGGCGUAUAUGAUUUUGGACAAAUGAGGUGUUAAAACUAUUCGGAGACAACGGUGGUGGAGAUGUAGCCAUCCAAGCGGACAGCCCUAACUUCCCCGUUUGGGGAGGGGAAGACCGGGGCUGUGGAUAUGGAGGACAGCCGUGUGACGAUAUGCGAGGGAAAAACAAGGGGACCCGUUAGAUUAAAAAUGGACGGGGGCGACGGGACGUCACGAUGCGCCGGCGCCACAAAGCUCAAUACGCAGUUCAUGAAUGCGCUCAUUUGGCUCCCAGCAUGCCGCGCGUCCGGAGGGACCGCUGGUUACCAAGAGCUCAUCUAGACCCUGUGUAACCCACCCUGCUGCAUCUGAGGAGGAAACAAAACCCACUCGCUAAAACACGAAGAUCAAGGCUUCCCCCAACUUCCAGGUUUCUUAUCAGUCUGGAGUUGAGAACCACGUCACCUUUGGACUACGAGUCCAGUGAAGUCCAUUUCCCACAGGACUACAAUAACCACUGUUUUAAUACUGGACAACAUUGCUUAAAUACAUGGAUUCAGCUCAAGCAGCUGUCACUGGAGGCUGAUACAAGAGUCGCCAACGCUGGCUGCUGCAACACAACAUCUUUAUCCGGAUGGCAACAGAAACACAACAGGGGACUCUGAAUCAAGUGGGCAUCCGGCCAUUGUGAUGUUGAAAGUGUAAAAGUGAGUGACAGCAAGUUGGACUGUGUGUAUUGUACAUGGGAACUGCUCUGCACAGCUGUUCUGGAAACAUCUGCGCUAGAUUUUCAUGUAGAGCUUAAAUCUUUUUAAAUUUCUCGCUCACACACACAAGGUUAGAAGAUGACAAAUAGUAGCUUUGAUUCUUUGAAUUCAUUAGUUCAACAUGUUACAUUUAGGUGAGAAUUAAUGCUAGAGUAGAAAAUGUUUUACAUUUACAUUUUGCAUAUUUGUCAAUUCUUCUCAUAACUUUGGAAUCUUAUUUGUUUCAAUUUUUUAGCUAGUAAUUAAAUUUGUCUUGUAAAUUUUGGCUGUGUCAAUCUAGUUGAUGACAAUCUGUGUGAAUUACUUGAAACAUAUCAAAUGAUUUUCCUGGUGCAAUGUCAAAAAUGUUUUACAGAUUUGGUGAUAUCAAAAUCAACUUUAAGUUAAUUCUUCUGAAGAUUGGACUGUUUAUGGUACAUCUUUAAAUGUCAUCAUGUGAAUGUAUUAUUCUGUUCAAUGACAGUAUAAUUGUUCCUCAAAAUGUUUUCUAAUAUGCUAAGUGAUUUGGACUGAAUGCACUGGUGGUAAAUAUGGUUCUUAUGCAGUCUUUGUGUUUAGCUAUGUCAUAUUUUAUCACUUCAUGUACCUUGACACUGAAGCACGAUUUCACUUUUAAUCAAGAGAGCAACUAUCACUGCAGGAGAUCGUUUGUCCAAUCAAAAUUAUAUAAUGUUUAAUGCAUACCUUGUUAUCUAUGCACCAGAUAAUUAGUGUAGUAGGAUGUCUUAAACUUGCACUCUUAGUGUUUGUACACAAGAACUAUUGCUAGGUUUGCACAUUAGCAGCUAAAUGUCAUGGGUUCGGUUUGUGUGUAAGGUAUGUUGUGCUCCUAAUGUGCACUCUAUGAGCACAGGUGCAAUAUGUGCAGUGAUGUUGAAGAAGUGUGUGUUUUAGUUGGUUUGAGUAGAAACAGUGAAUGCAGUCCUUGCUAGUAGAAAUGUAGUCUGCGUUGAUUUAAUCAACAAUUGCAGUGCCAGUCAGAGAUUAAACAUAGGAUGUAUUCCACAUUUCAUGUGUCAGAUCAGCUCCUCUGACAAUGUGAUACAUUGGUGUUCUUGGAUGCACAAGAACUAAUGUGGAGAAUUUGUGAAUAUAUGUUUUUUUUUUGCAGAUAAUACUAUUUAGAGGGAAUAACCUGACAGCAUUAUUAUGUACUAUGAACUACUGCUUUAGCAGUCUUAAAUUGCACUUGAGCUUCUGUGUCCCUACUAUGCAAAUGUUACUUUUGUAGUUACCAUAAUCAAUAAAAAUGUUGUUUGCAAUGAGACAAUAACUGUGUAAAUGUGGAUUUAUCAUGUCAAUCAUUAUUAUUUGCUAUACAUCCUUCCUCUGUGUGUUUAGGCCCUAAAUACUGGCAUUAUAAGGAGUGUCCUUUUCUACUAUUUCUAAGAUGGGUUGUGGACAUUUAUUUGCAGUGGACAUCUGAGAUUACGAUAUCCUCGGAAUGCACAAGUAACACAAAAUGCUUAACAUCUUUUUAAAUCAAAUUGUAGCUCCAAGGGGUUUUAAGUAGCCUAUCAUAAUUGCAUCCACUGUUUUUACAAUAACCAACUUUCUACUGUACAUGCAAUCUAUAAAAUAAGGUUUUGAUAUGUGAAAAGAAGUGCAUGUGAGCUUGACAAUCUGAUGUGAUGACUGAUGCUGUUUGUGUUUUUGAUACAAAAUGUGUUGGAUAUUAAUAUUUGAUAAUUGGUUAUACAAAACAAUUAGCUUAUUCAGCUGAUUUAUUUGGAGAUCUGUUUGAAAGUUUUGAAACAAUAUGUACUAAAUGUAGCUAGUAGCUUAAUAAAAACAGAUGAAUGAACAGUCAAUCUUGUUGGAAAUAAAUGCAUUUUUUGAUUUUGUGAU